UGCAAGGUUUUAUUAAGUGGAAGUAGCUC
rnacentral:piRNA from 1 species